rnacentral:rRNA from 1 species
GCAAGUCGAGGGGUAACGGGGUGCUUGCACCGCCGACGACCGGCGCACGGGUGCGUAACGCGUAUACAAUCUACCUUUUGCUGAGGAAUAGCCCAGAGAAAUUUGGAUUAAUGCCUCAUAGUAUGUCGACCUCGCAUGAGGAUGAUAUUAAAGGUUACGGCAAAAGAUGAGUAUGCGUUCUAUUAGCUAGUUGGUGAAGUAACGGCUCACCAAGGCAACGAUGGGUAGGGGUCCUGAGAGGGAGAUC